rnacentral:rRNA from 1 species
UGCAAGUCGAACGAUGAUGCCCAGCUUGCUGGGCGGAUUAGUGGCGAACGGGUGAGUAACACGUGAGUAACCUGCCCUUGACUUCGGGAUAACUCCGGGAAACCGGGGCUAAUACCGGAUAUGAGCCGCCUUCGCAUGGGGGUGGUUGGAAAGUUUUUCGGUCAGGGAUGGGCUCGCGGCCUAUCAGCUUGUUGGUGGGGUGAUGGCCUACCAAGGCGACGACGGGUAGCCGGCCUGAGAGGGCGACCGGCCACACUGGGACUGAGACACGGCCCAGACUCCUACGGGAGGCAGCAGUGGGGAAUAUUGCACAAUGGGCGAAAGCCUGAUGCAGCGACGCCGCGUGAGGGAUGAAGGCCUUCGGGUUGUAAACCUCUUUCAGCAGGGAAGAAGCGCAAGUGACGGUACCUGCAGAAGAAGCGCCGGCUAACUACGUGCCAGCAGCCGCGGUAAUACGUAGGGCGCAAGCGUUGUCCGGAAUUAUUGGGCGUAAAGAGCUCGUAGGCGGUUUGUCGCGUCUGGUGUGAAAACUCGAGGCUCAACCUCGAGCUUGCAUCGGGUACGGGCAGACUAGAGUGCGGUAGGGGAGACUGGAAUUCCUGGUGUAGCGGUGGAAUGCGCAGAUAUCAGGAGGAACACCGAUGGCGAAGGCAGGUCUCUGG